UACGGAGGGUGCAAGCGUUAUCCGGCUUUACUGGGUUUAACGGGUGCGUAGGCGGCUUUUUAAGUCAGUGGUGAAAGCCUGGCGCUUAACGCCAGAAAUGCCAUUGAAACUGGAAAGCUUGAGUCAAGAAGAGGUAAGCAGAAUUCAUGGUGUAGCGGUGAAGGGCUUAGAUACCAUGAGGAAGUCCAAUAGCGAAGGCAGCUUACUGGUCUUGUACUGACGCUGAGGCACGAAAGCGUGGGGAGCGAACAGG
rnacentral:rRNA from 1 species